rnacentral:rRNA from 1 species
UACGAAGGGGGCUAGCGUUGUUCGGAUUUACUGGGCGUAAAGGGCGCGUAGGCGGCCAGCGCAAGUCAGUUGUGAAAUCUCCGGGCUUAACUCGGAACGGUCAACUGAUACUGCGCGGCUAGAGUGCAGAAGGGGCAACUGGAAUUCUUGGUGUAGCGGUGAAAUGCGUAGAUAUCAAGAGGAACACCUGCGGCGAAGGCGGGUUGCUGGGCCGACACUGACGCUGAGGCGCGAAAGCCAGGGGAGCGAACGGG